GGCUGGUCCGAGUGCAGUGGUGUUUACAACUAAUUGAUCACAACCAGUUACAGAUUCCUUUGUUCCUUCUCCACUCCCACUGCUUCACCUGAGUAGCCUUAA
ensembl:misc_RNA Y_RNA Y RNA